rnacentral:rRNA from 1 species
AGAGUUUGAUCAUGGCUCAGGACGAACGCUGGCGGCGUGCUUAACACAUGCAAGUCGAGCGGCAGCGCGGUGUAGCAAUACACUGGCGGCGAGCGGCGGACGGGUGAGGAAUGCGUCGGAAUCUGCCUCUUUGUGGGGGAUAACGUAGGGAAACUUACGCUAAUACCGCAUACGACCUACGGGUGAAAGUGGGGGACCUUCGGGCCUCACGCAGAGAGAUGAGCCGACGCCGGAUUAGCUAGUUGGCGGGGUAAAGGCCCACCAAGGCGACGAUCCGUAGCUGGUCUGAGAGGAUGAUCAGCCACACUGGAACUGAGACACGGUCCAGACUCCUACGGGAGGCAGCAGUGGGGAAUAUUGGACAAUGGGCGCAAGCCUGAUCCAGCCAUGCCGCGUGUGUGAAGAGGGCCUUCGGGUUGUAAAGCACUUUUGUCCGGAAAGAAAUCCUUCGAAUUAAUACUUCGGAGGGAUGACGGUACCGGAAGAAUAAGCACCGGCUAACUUCGUGCCAGCAGCCGCGGUAAUUC